GUGCUGACUGCGGUCCAGUUCCUGCUAAGAGCUGCCUUGCCUGUUUUGUUCCCUUUUACAAUUGUUUGCCGUGGGAGGGUGAGUCUAACACCAGUUGACUCCAUCGUGGGUGAAGUUCAAGACCUUCUCUUCUGUUCCUUUACGCAGACCCACCUUCUUCCUGAUCAGUCAAUUGGGAGGAAAGCCCCGGGCACUUGCAGUGUAGACAAGACUGAAGGCGUAUGUCUUACCUUAUAUAGCGCACACCCAUGUCUCGUGGGAGUACCAAGGGGAUCAGACAUGGCCUCUGCCCUCGGAAAGGUUCAACUCACCUUGGGACGGCAGGACAUGCCAAGGGUUUCCUAGGGAUUCAAGGUCACCCACGGGAAGCUCAGAAAAGUCACCCCAAUUCUACUGGUGUGCGCAGUGUGAUCCUGGAACUCCCCCUUCGCGCUCGUAGCGAGAAGUUUGAAGGACGGAGGGCAGCCCUGGCACCCCUGGCGUGUGAGGCUGUCUUGCCCUCUCCCCUGCUGCGUUCUGAGGUGUGUGCCUGGGGACUCCGGGGGCACCGCUGUCCGCGCGUGGCUCAGGGAACCGGCGUUAACGGUAUUGCUUCUCCGUCAUGCCUGUGAGAACUGAGCAGUUGCCUUGGAGCUGUCAAAGCCACUGCAGCAUAAAGAAAGAAUUGGUGACAACUGUAGUCUUUGGGAUGUAUGGGUUCACAUUAAACAAUUCUGUAAAUUAACUGACUCAUUAAUUUGUUCCA